GGAAAGGCGCGCGAUACAGGGUGACAGCCCCGUACACAAAAAUGCACAUGCUGUGAGCUCGAUGAGUAGGGCGGGACACGUGGUAUCCUGUCUGAAUAUGGGGGGACCAUCCUCCAAGGCUAAAUACUCCUGACUGACCGAUAGUGAACCAGUACCGUGAGGGAAAGGCGAAAAGAACCCCGGCGAGGGGAGUGAAAAAGAACCUGAAACCGUGUACGUACAAGCAGUGGGAGCACGCUUAGGCGUGUGACUGCGUACCUUUUGUAUAAUGGGUCAGCGACUUAUAUUCUGUAGCAAGGUUAACCGAAUAGGGGAGCCGAAGGGAAACCGAGUCUUAACUGGGCGUUAAGUUGCAGGGUAUAGACCCGAAACCCGGUGAUCUAGCCAUGGGCAGGUUGAAGGUUGGGUAACACUAACUGGAGGACCGA
rnacentral:rRNA from 1 species